AGCAGGGGAACAGCUACUUUUAAAGACAUCGUUCUGCCUCCCUGGGUCCCAAGAGCCUGGAAACUCCAAAAACGAAAGUAUGUGACAAGCUGUGAGAUGUGUUUCAUUUGCUUCCUGGCAUCAACUAAACCACCCUGCUGUGUAAAAAUGUAGAGAAGUUUCCUAAGGACUCGCACUGCCUGGCCCACUCUCCCCAAGAGGCAUGGACACCAGCGAGAAUCACAGAUCAAAGAAGCAGGAAUAUGGAAGCAGAAGUUGGAAGAACCUAGAUAUUGGCUGUACAAUGUAAAGCACUGCCUGUAUGAAUGUAUAGGGAACCACAUUCUUCAGCAGAGACCUGGUUGGGACACCUCCCAUCAAACUGAUUUGAACUAACAACUUGUUACAAUAAUAACUGCUUCUAGAUUCAAGCAAUAUUAGAAGAACCUUUACUUAGUGCCAAGUAAUUAAUGAAGUGCUAACUAGAUCCCAAAAAGUAAGUUAUACUCUUUCAGACCAUUAGUUACCAAAACAAGAUUAAGAAAUACCCUUUCUGCAGUAUUCAAGAAGCUUGGCUGAAAGGCAACACAAUUAAUUUGAUUUUAUAUUAAUGUAUAGUUCUAAUCCCAGAGCUCUGUAUGCAGCACAAUAAGUUUAGUCAGAAUCAAAUGCUAUUUCUCUUCUUUUCCUCUACAUUUUUGUAACAAAUUCUAUUGUCAUCUACACAAGCAAAGCUGAUUGCAUUAAAGGAACUU